rnacentral:rRNA from 1 species
UACGUAGGGUGCAAGCGUUGUCCGGAUUUAUUGGGCGUAAAGCGUGCGCAGGCGGUUUUGUAAGUCUGUCGUGAAAUCCCCGGGCUCAACCUGGGAAUUGCGAUGGAGACUGCAAGGCUAGAAUCUGGCAGAGGGGGGUAGAAUUCCACGUGUAGCAGUGAAAUGCGUAGAGAUGUGGAGGAACACCGAUGGCGAAGGCAGCCCCCUGGGUCAAGAUUGACGCUCCAUGCACGAAAGCGUGGGGAGCAAACGAGGAUACGAAACCUAGUAGAUCC